rnacentral:rRNA from 1 species
AUGAGCUUGUUCAUUGUGGCGUCCCAGACCGCAUACAGUGCAACCGGCUGCAAAGCAGCGGACACAUGUGCGACGCACAGAAGCGGCACGCUACAGAUUAUUUGUAGACAACGUGAAAACGAGACAAACAAACAAACAUAA